CAUAUCAAUAAGCGGAGGAAAAGAAACCAACAGGGAUUGCCCUAGUAACGGCGAGUGAAGCGGCAACAGCUCAAAUUUGAAAUCUGGCGUCUUUGGCGUCCGAGUUGUAAUUUGCAGAGGGCGCUUUGGCAUUGGCAGCGGUCCAAGUUCCUUGGAACAGGACGUCACAGAGGGUGAGAAUCCCGUACGUGGUCGCUAGCCUUUACCGUGUAAAGCCCCUUCGACGAGUCGAGUUGUUUGGGAAUGCAGCUCUAAAUGGGAGGUAAAUUUCUUCUAAAGCUAAAUACUGGCCAGAGACCGAUAGCGCACAAGUAGAGUGAUCGAAAGAUGAAAAGCACUUUGGAAAGAGAGUUAAAAAGCACGUGAAAUUGUUGAAAGGGAAGCGCUUGCAGCCAGACUUGCCUGUAGUUGCUCAUCCGGGUUUCUACCCGGUGCACUCUUCUAUAGGCAGGCCAGCAUCAGUUUGGGCGGUUGGAUAAAGGUCUCUGUCAUGUACCUCCUUUCGGGGAGAACUUAUAGGGGAGACGACAUGCAACCAGCCCGGACUGAGGUCCGCGCAUCUGCUAGGAUGCUGGCGUAAUGGCUGUAAGCGGCCCGUCUUGAAACACGGACCAAGGAGUCUAACAUCUAUGCGAGUGUUUGGGUGUCAAGCCCGAGCGCGUAAUGAAAGUGAACGGAGGUGGGAACCUUUCGGGGUGCACCAUCGACCGAUCCUGAUGUCUUCGGAUGGAUUUGAGUAAGAGCAUAGCUGUUGGGACCCGAAAGAUGGUGAACUAUGCUUGAAUAGGGUGAAGCCAGAGGAAACUCUGGUGGAGGCUCGCAGCGGUUCUGACGUGCAAAUCGAUCGUCAAAUUUGGGCAUAGGGGCGAAAGACUAAUCGAACUAUCUAGUAGCUGGUUCUGC
rnacentral:rRNA from 1 species